rnacentral:misc_RNA from 1 species
GCAAAACUUGAAGGUAAAUUACACUUAUACAGUUGGCCAAAGGGCCAGAGCUAGGGUUUUGCAAAAAGCUUUAGCAAUAUUUAUUCAUGAAUUUUACUAAAGCUUUGGACGUUUUGGUUUGGGCAGAAAAGAGUUGGGAAUUGAUUAGAUACAGAUAGGCUUUCGUUUAAAAUCAGAUUGACUCGUGUUAACAAUGAGGCAAUAAUGGAAUUUGGAAUCUAUGGGGAAACUAACCUCUGCAAGUUUUCCUGAGAUGCACAUUUAUG